ACGCUCGACACCUACGGAGGCAGCAGUGGGGAAUAUUGCACAAUGGGGGAAACCCUGAUGCAGCGACGCCGCGUGGAGGAAGAAGGUCUUCGGAUUGUAAACUCCUGUUGUUGGGGAAAAAGAGGAUGGUACCCAACAAGGAAGUGACGGCUAACUACGUGCCAGCAGCCGUGGUAAUCUGAGGCGGCUGGACAAGGC
rnacentral:rRNA from 1 species